UACGUAGGGCGCAAGCGUUGUCCGGAAUUAUUGGGCGUAAAGAGCUCGUAGGCGGCUUGUCACGUCUGCUGUGAAAUCCCGGGGCUCAACCCCGGGCGUGCAGUGGAUACGGGCUGGCUAGAGGCAGGCAGGGGAGAACGGAAUUCCCGGUGUAGCGGUGAAAUGCGCAGAUAUCGGGAGGAACACCGGUGGCGAAGGCGGUUCUCUGGGCAUGUUCUGACGCUGAGGAGCGAAAGUGUGGGGAGCGAACAGG
rnacentral:rRNA from 1 species